rnacentral:tRNA from 1 species
UCCCUGGUGGCUCAGCUGGUAAAGAAUCCGCCUGCAAUGCGGGAGACCUGGGUUCGAUCCCUGGAUUGGGAA